AAGCGGGUGCCGGGGAGGGCACAGACACCCCGCAAGGGUCGGGCUCGGCCGGGGAUGGUGUCCCCGGGUGCCAGGCCAGGCUGGGAGGGUGCGAUGCCCACCCAGUCCAGACCAGACCUGCACGGAGGGCACAAGGCUGGGACAAGCGCACUCAUUACCGGCCCCGUGACACCCACAGAGGGGGAGGCGGCAGGCACCCACGCAGACACCCGAGGGGAUGGACGGCAAAGCCUGGCCGGCGAGGGCACCCAUAUAUCACCGAAGGAGGCCGUGGGCAAGGGCGCUGCCACCAGCCAAUAGGUGCCAACCAGCCAGGCAGGAGCGAGGCCGUGGCCGGGCCGAAGGAACCGAACCGCCGUAUUUUUUUUAAUGAUUGUUUUUUAAGAUUUCGACGGCUGUUUUGGGUGUUUGUGACGAUUUUUUUUACCGCCGCAUACAGGCUGGCCAAGGGCCUGGCUUCGGGGACGAGGUCAGGCUGGGAAGCUGAGCUGCCCAUGCUGUCCCCUCCGCCCCCCCCACCGGGCCCCCCGGGGCCGGGGACACUGGGCAGCACAGCCUCGAGCACAGCUUGCGCCGGCCUCCCUCCUCCACGCUUCGUCCCGCUCAGCUGAGCGCCAGGACCGUCCCCUUUCACUGCCAGCCCUGGGGUGUCCCCCGUGGGCCACCUCAAGGGCACCCUGCUAUCACUGCACCCUGGGCUCGGGGGGGGAUGAGCCUGGCCGGGACUCGCAGCCCCUGGUGAUGCUGAGGGCCGUGAGCAGCGACGUGCCCCCCGGGGACACGCAGGAGCUGAGCCCUGCUUGGCUCGUGCACAUGUGUGUGGGUGUGCCUGCACCCACGGGUUUGUGCGUGUGUGUGUGAGCUUGCACACACGUGGCAGUGCAUGCACGCUUGUGCGCGUGCACACGUGUGAGAGCGUGCGCGUAUUUUGUGUAUGGACGUGUGCAUGCACCUACAUCUGUGCACAUCUGCGUGAGCACGCCCACGUGCCCGCAGGCAUGCGGGUGCGCGCGCGCGUGGGUGUGACUUCACGUACACCUUGCCCAUGGGAGUUUGCAUGCACACACAUGCGCGCGCACACGCCGCUGGCUGUGCACACGCGUGUCGGGCACACGCACGCGAGCCCCUGCACACGCCGAGGCACGCACGCAGCGCUCCCACGUCCCGGGCACUCCGCACCCGCAGCAUUGGCUUCGCAGAGCACCCGUCGCGUGAACCUUUAUUAAACGGAUCCCCUUCUC